rnacentral:rRNA from 1 species
CCUACGGGUGGCAGCAGUGAGGAAUAUUGGGCAAUGGACGGAAGUCUGAACCAGCCAUGCCGCGUGAAGGAAGACGGCCCUAUGGGUUGUAAACUGCUUUUGUAAGAGGGUAAACAUGAAUGCGUGUAUUUUUCUGUAUGUACUUUACGAAUAAGGAUCGGCUAACUCCGUGCCAGCAGCCGCGGUAAUACGGAGGAUCCAAGCGUUAUCCGGAUUUAUUGGGUGUAAAGGGUGCGUAGGCGGGUUGAUAAGUUAGUGGUGAAAAGUUCGGGCUUAACUCGGGAACUGCCUCUGAUACUGGGGGUCUAGAGAGUAUGUGCGGUAGGCGGAAUGUAUGGUGUAGCGGUGAAAUGCUUAGAUAUCAUACAGAACACCGGUUGCGAAGGCAACUUUCCAAUCUAUAUCUGACGUUGAGGCACGAAAGUGUGGGGAGCAAACAGGAUUAGAUACCCGGGUAGUC